rnacentral:rRNA from 1 species
AUUGAACGCUGGCGGCAUGCCUUACACAUGCAAGUCGAACGGCAGCACGGGUGCUUGCACCUGGUGGCGAGUGGCGAACGGGUGAGUAAUACAUCGGAACGUACCUUAUCGUGGGGGAUAACGCAGCGAAAGCUGUGCUAAUACCGCAUACGCCCUGAGGGGGAAGGCGGGGGAUCGAAAGACCUCGCGCGAUUAGAGCGGCCGAUGCCUGAUUAGCUUGUUGGUGGGGUAAAAGCCCACCAAGGCGACGAUCAGUAGCUGGUCUGAGAGGACGAUCAGCCACACUGGGACUGCGACACGGCCCAGACUCCUACGGGAGGAAGCAGUGGGGAAUUUUGGACAAUGGGGGCAACCCUGAUCCAGCAAUGCCGCGUGAGUGAAGAAGGCCUUCGGGUUGUAAAGCUCUUUUGUCAGGGAAGAAACACCGGCUCUAACACAGUCCGGGAAUGACGGUACCUGAAGAAUAAGCACCGGCUAACUACGUGCCAGCCGCCGCAGUAA